rnacentral:rRNA from 1 species
UACGAAGGGGGCUAGCGUUGUUCGGAUUUACUGGGCGUAAAGCGCACGUAGGCGGGCCGUUAAGUCGGGGGUGAAAUCCUGGAGCUCAACUCCAGAACUGCCUUCGAUACUGGCGACCUAGAGUCCGGAAGAGGUGAGUGGAACUCCUAGUGUAGAGGUGGAAUUCGUAGAUAUUAGGAAGAACACCAGUGGCGAAGGCGGCUCACUGGUCCGGUACUGACGCUGAGGUGCGAAAGCGUGGGGAGCAAACAGG